rnacentral:rRNA from 1 species
GUAGGUGGCAAGCGUUGUCCGGAAUUAUUGGGCGUAAAGCGCGCGCAGGCGGUUCUUUAAGUCUGAUGUGAAAGCCCACGGCUCAACCGUGGAGGGUCAUUGGAAACUGGAGAACUUGAGUACAGAAGAGGAAAGCGGAAUUCCACGUGUAGCGGUGAAAUGCGUAGAGAUGUGGAGGAACACCAGUGGCGGAGGCGGCUUUCUGGUCUGUAACUGACGCUGAGGCGCGAAAGCGUGGGGAGCAAACAGGGAUUAGAUACCCUGGUAGUCCACGCCGUAAACGAUGAGUGCUAAGUGUUAGGGGGGUUUCCGCCCCCUUAGUGCUGCAGCUAACGCAUUAAGCACUCCGCCUGGGGAUACGGCCGCAAGGCUG